rnacentral:rRNA from 1 species
CGGUAAUAGCUCAAAUUUGAAAUCUGGCCUCUCGGGGUCCGAGUUGUAAUUUGUAGAGGAUGUUUUGGGUACCGCCCCGGUCUAAAUUUCUUGGAACAGGACGUCACAGAGGGUGAGAAUCCCGU